AAAUGACUUCGGGGUCCCCUAUUCUGUUUUUAGAAAAUCAUUAUAAUUUGUAAAAAAAUGGUUAUAAGAUAAAAUUUAUAUGCUUAGACUCCUUAAUGAGUAUAGUUUCAAAUGAAAUCAAAUAGAACAUAUUUUGAAUUCUAUACAAUGAGAAAUUUGAUUCGUAGUGAAGAGUGGUCAGAUUAGUCAAACAGUGAAACAGGGGAAACUUUAAGAAAAAUCUGGUAUUGAUUGGCC
rnacentral:lncRNA from 1 species